AGUGAACGCUGGCGGUAGGCCUAACACAUGCAAGUCGAACGGCAGCACAGUAAUAGCUUGCUCUUACGGGUGGCGAGUGGCGGACGGGUGAGGAAUACAUCGGAAUCUACUUUUUCGUGGGGGAUAACGUAGGGAAACUUACUCUAAUACCGCAUACGACCUACGGGUGAAAGCAGGGGAUCUUCGGACCUUGCGCGAUUGAAUGAGCCGAUGUCGGAUUAGCUAGUUGGCGGGGUAAAGGCCCACCAAGGCGACGACCCGUAGCUGGUCUGAGAGGAUGAUCAGCCACACUGGAACUGAGACACGGUCCAGACUCCUACGGGAGGCAGCAGUGGGGAAUAUUGGACAAUGGGCGCAAGCCUGAUCCAGCCAUACCGCGUGGGUGAAGAAGGCCUUCGGGUUGUAAAGCCCUUUUGUUGGGAAAGAAAAGCAGCAGGUUAAUACCCCGCUGUUCUGACGGUACCCAAAGAAUAAGCACCGGCUAACUUCGUG
rnacentral:rRNA from 1 species